GAAACAUGUGCUUGCCGUUGCUGUUUGAAAACUGGCGAGUGGCGAGCAGCAUGUGCCUCAGUGCCCUUUCAUUUCACUGUUUGAAACUGGCGAGUGGCAAGCUGCCUAUGCAUGUGCAUCACAGAAGCAGGCAACAGCAGUGCCUGCAUCACAGAAGCAACAGCCGUGCAGAUGAAGAGCAGCAGCCGGACUUACUUUUAAGUGCUAUAGUUUCAUUUUUGUUUGUUUUACUGCUGCAUGCCUUUACCGUGAGAGUGUGCAACAUGGCCAUAUGGGGAUGUGGUUUACAAUUUACUGCUGCUACAGUGUUAUGU
rnacentral:misc_RNA from 1 species